rnacentral:rRNA from 1 species
UGGGGAAUUUUGGACAAUGGGCGCAAGCCUGAACCAGCCAUGCCGCGUGGAGGAUGAAGGCCCUCUGGGUUGUAAACUUCUUUUAUAUGGGACGAAAAAGGGUCUUUCUAGAUCAACUGACGGUACCAUGUGAAUAAGCACCGGCUAACUCCGUGCCAGCAGCCGCGGUAAUACGGAGGGUGCAAGCGUUAUCCGGAUUCACUGGGUUUAAAGGGAGCGUAGGUGGGUUGGUAAGUCAGAGGUGAAAUCUCCGAGCUUAACUCGGAAACUGCCUUUGAUACUAUCAGUCUUGAAUAUUGUGGAGGUUAGCGGAAUAUGUCAUGUAGCGGUGAAAUGCUUAGAUAUGACAUAGAACACCAAUUGCGAAGGCAGCUGGCUACACAUAUAUUGACACUGAGGCUCGAAAGCGUGGGGAUCAAACA